AUUUUUAGAAGCUGGAUUUUAUGCCUAUAGAGUGAACAAGGUAAAAAUUAAAAUUUAGAGGGAAUGGUCAUUUUUUUGGAGGUAAACGUUUCAGUAGACAAUGCUAUUAUAUAUGUGCCACUGGAGAUCAUGGACUGUUAAUUAAUUCUCUAAAUUUGUUCUCAAAUGGUGGAAACUCUUGUUGUUGGUUUAGUUAUAUGAUUUUAUUGUUUAGUAGAAGCGGGAUUUCAACAUUGAGAUCUUCUCGGGAAUAAGGGGAUUGGAGCACGGUGGUUUGGCCAUGGAGCAUGAAUUCUCGUCUUAAAUGUUACAGGGGACCUUGUUUGGGAAUUUAAUCCUCGAGUUUUUGGGUUUGCUUUUUUUGUUACA